rnacentral:rRNA from 1 species
AGUUCGUGGAGCGAUUUGUCUGGUUGAUUCCGUUAACGAACGAGACUCUGACUUGCUAAAUAGUUGCGCGACCCGUUGCUGGUCGGCGCCCGACUUCUUAGAGGGACAAACGGCGUUCAGCCGUACGAGAUUGAGCAAUAACAGG